rnacentral:lncRNA from 1 species
CUUUGAUAUAGGUAGUUUGAGCCGGAUUGAUGAGGUUGUUGAGGAGCUUUAAGAUAAUUUUGAUACGGUUAUGCACCAAACCUAUAGAUCAGGAGUUUGAAGGAGCUUUAGCCAUCUCUUUCUUUAGAACAAGAGUGAUGCAAGCAUAGUUGAGCCUAGCAAAGUCCAAGUUGCAGUCGUACAGCUGCUGAGAGAGAAAACAUCCUCAUUGAUCGGGUC